GGACAGUGCAUGUUUGUUAUGUCAGAUCUCAAUUCAUUUUCAAGAGCUACUGGGGAAUCUGCACUCCAAACCUGCAGAGGGCGACCACGCAAGAGAUGCUGGUGCUCUCAGCAGGAACUCUUAGAGGGACCAUAUUUGCCUGCGCACCCAAUGGGAAUGCAUGGCAUUAAAUGUUUGGAUACACCUUUUUCACCUGCGCCUGGAAGUAAGGAAGGACCGCAAUUCCUGAUCCAGCUGAGAGACGCAACUGUUCAAGCCCCCCAAAAAUUUCCUUCCGAGAUGAAAAUGACGGCAGCAGAGGAGGACACCCUGCCAGCUCUGCCACCUCGUUGCGGUCCCGAAGUUUGGAAGAGAGGAAUGAGACUUUCUGAUGUCAUCCGUGACCCGGGUCAUCUCUAAACCCAGGAGCAGAGCCGUAAUGGCUUCCUCCACAGUCACAGCGCUGUGGCCAGGAGGACUGGCUGUGGCUCAAAUUAAGGAGCCAUAACAGGCCCAUAAAUUUGAAGGGAAUCCGCUGUGAAUGGUAUGAAACGGGGACAGAGAGACAAAGAGUAGCAGCAGAGUUUUAUCCUCUUGGAGUCGUAAAUGUGUUUUCUGUGGCAUUUUACAAGGCCAGGACACCGCUGUGCUCUCCAUAAACCAUAAUCUGAUUAAAAUUCCUCUUUUUAAAAUACGAUUUGAAAAACAGCAACAUCUAUCACGCAAUAGAUCCACAAGGCUUCACUCCUUCAUUCUUUAAAAAAUAAAUAAAAAAUGAAUCCAUAAAAUAAAUGUCAGUUUCAUAUCCUCACAACCCCGAACCGACUAUGACUGCACUCCUACACUCUGUAAUCAAAGUAAUGAUCCCAUAAUUGCCUCGAAUUUUAGCACUGGUAUGGUCUCCAUGGCAACUCAAUCAAAUGUGCUGCAGAACAAGACAAACUCGGUGCAAAAGACUUUCGAACAAAGCGGUGGUAACGAGUCUACAUGUAAACACAGCUCAGUGGAAAAGCUUUGAGCGAAACUAAGCACGGCAGGCAGAGUGAACAGUCAGUCAAUUAAAGGGACUUGUUAGAUGCUAGUACCAUUUUGCAUCUAAUCAAUACACUAAAAUACAAUAUGAAAUACAAUACGUGUUUGUUUUCAGCUCCCCAAUUUCAGAUUUGGCCCUACAAGGGAAAAAGUCUCGGAUUCAGCAGAUGAUAAU